rnacentral:rRNA from 1 species
AUUGAACGCUGGCGGCAGGCCUAACACAUGCAAGUCGAGCGGAUGAAGGGAGCUUGCUCCUGGAUUCAGCGGCGGACGGGUGAGUAAUGCCUAGGAAUCUGCCUGGUAGUGGGGGAUAACGUCCGGAAACGGGCGCUAAUACCGCAUACGUCCUGAGGGAGAAAGUGGGGGAUCUUCGGACCUCACGCUAUCAGAUGAGCCUAGGUCGCAUUAGCUAGUUGGUGGGGUAAAGGCCUACCAAGGCGACGAUCCGUAACUGGUCUGAGAGGAUGAUCAGUCACACUGGAACUGAGACACGGUCCAGACUCCUACGGGAGGCAGCAGUGGGGAAUAUUGGACAAUGGGCGAAAGCCUGAUCCAGCCAUGCCGCGUGUGUGAAGAAGGUCUUCGGAUUGUAAAGCACUUUAAGUUGGGAGGAAGGGCAGUAAGUUAAUACCUUGCUGUUUUGACGUUACCGACAGAAUAAGCACCGGCUAACUUCGUG